rnacentral:rRNA from 1 species
UACGUAGGGUGCAAGCGUUGUCCGGAAUUAUUGGGCGUAAAGAGCUCGUAGGCGGUCUGUCGCGUCGAAUGUGAAAACCCGGGACUCAACUCCGGGCCUGCAUUCGAUACGGGCAGACUAGAGUUCGGUAGGGGAGACUGGAAUUCCUGGUGUAGCGGUGAAAUGCGCAGAUAUCAGGAGGAACACCGGUGGCGAAGGCGGGUCUCUGGGCCGAUACUGACGCUGAGACGCGAAAGCGUGGGGAGCAAACAGG